UACGUAGGGUGCAAGCGUUGUCCGGAAUUAUUGGGCGUAAAGAGCUCGUAGGCGGUCUGUCGCGUCUGCUGUGAAAUCUCAGGGCUUAACCCUGAGCUUGCAGUGGGUACGGGCAGACUAGAGUGCGGUAGGGGAGACUGGAAUUCCUGGUGUAGCGGUGAAAUGACGCAGAUAUCAGGAGGAACACCGGUGGCGAAGGCGGGUCUCUGGGCCGU
rnacentral:rRNA from 1 species